rnacentral:rRNA from 1 species
AUUGAACGCUGGCGGCAUGCCUUACACAUGCAAGUCGAACGGUAACAGGUUAAGCUGACGAGUGGCGAACGGGUGAGUAAUAUAUCGGAACGUGCCCAGUCGUGGGGGAUAACGUAGCGAAAGCUACGCUAAUACUGCAUACGAUCUACGGAUGAAAGCGGGGGAUCGCAAGACCUCGCGCGAUUGGAGCGGCCGAUAUCAGAUUAGGUUGUUGGUGAGGUAUAAGCUCACCAAGCCUGCGAUCUGUAGCUGGUCUGAGAGGACGACCAGCCACACUGGAACUGAGACACGGUCCAGACUCCUACGAGAGGCAGCAGUGGGGAAUUUUGGACAAUGGACGCAAGUCUGAUCCAGCAAUGCCGCGUGCAGGACGAAGGCCUUCGGGUUGUAAACUGCUUUUGUACGGAACGAAACGGUGAGCUCUAAUACAGUCUGCUAAUGACGGUACCGUAAGAAUAAGCACCGGCUAACUACGUGCCAGCAGCCGCCGUAA